UUUCCCGACCGGUAGAAACUCCACUCGAGCUCGGGAAGAAGAAAAUUUCUCUUUCGGCAGAGAGCGAAAAAGAGAUUGAACGUAGAGAAGACGAUUCGGUUUGAUCAUAGAGGGCUGAAGAUGGCGCUGUUCAAGAAGGGGCAGCCGUUGGUGACGAAGCUGGCGACGCUGGCUGCGUACGUAGUGUUCCCGGGGGCCAUGGCCGCCGCCGUCAUCUACUCACCCCCCGUCUACGCGAGAUCCAACAAAUCAUCCUCCUCCUCCUCCAAGUGAUCCCUCACUUCUCCGGUGGGCAUCCCAACCUGUCCAGCAUUUCUCGUUCAGAACCUGCUUGCGGUCUACUUUAGCAACAUGGUUUGUAAUAAUGCUCGUGGACAUGAAAGGUUGCCGUGCAGUCCUGUUGAGAGUUGAAACAGUUGCUGAUUUUUUCCAGCUACAAGGAUUGAAUUUGUCUUGUUUAGACUUUAGCCUGUACCUGCACACCUCUCUUGUCCAAUUCAAGAAUCAAGAUCGUCUUAUUUUGCUUCUCA